rnacentral:rRNA from 1 species
GGUCUCAGUUCGGAUCGCAGGCUGCAACCCGCCUGCGUGAAGUUGGAAUUGCUAGUAAUCGCGGAUCAGCAUGCCGCGGUGAAUACGUUCCCGGGCCUUGUACACACCGCCCGUCACACCAUGGGAGCCGGUAAUACCCGAAGUCAGUAGUCCAACCUCGUGAGGACGCUGCCGAAGGUAGGAUUGGCGACUGGGGUGAAGUCGUAACAAGGUACC